rnacentral:rRNA from 1 species
GACGAACGCUGGCGGCGUGCUUAACACAUGCAAGUCGAACGGAAAGGCCCUGCUUUUGUGGGGUGCUCGAGUGGCGAACGGGUGAGUAACACGUGAGUAACCUGCCCUUGACUUUGGGAUAACUUCAGGAAACUGGGGCUAAUACCGGAUAGGAGCUCCUGCUGCAUGGUGGGGGUUGGAAAGUUUCGGCGGUUGGGGAUGGACUCGCGGCUUAUCAGCUUGUUGGUGGGGGAGUGGCUUACCAAGGCUUUGACGGGUAGCCGGCCUGAGAGGGUGACCGGCCACAUUGGGACUAAGGUACGGACCAGACUGCUACGGGAGGCAGCAGUGGGGAAUAUUACACAAUGGGCGGACGUCUGAUGCAGCAGCGCCGCGUGCGGGAUGACGGCCUUCGGGUUGUAAACCGCUUUCGCCUGUGACGAAGCGUGAGUGACGGUAAUGGGUAAAGAAGCACCGGCUAACUACGUG